AAGUCGUAACAAGGUUUCCGUAGGUGAACCUGCGGAAGGAUCAUUAUUGAAAUAUCUUUGGAGAUAGUACUGUUGCUGGCCCUUGUAGUGAGGUAAUUGUAUUAAACUGCAAGUGGUAUGUGCACGUCUAUCUCUAAUCUUAUUCAUCCACCUGUGCAUUUAUUGUAGGAGUUCUUUGAAGUUGGUUUGUAUGGGUUUUGACCUGUGCGAGUUAAUUUUAAAAGGCUUCUAUGUCUUAUAAACCCAUUAGUAUGUUUUUGAAUGUCUUUUAUUGGGACUUGAUUGGCCCUUUAAACUUGUACAACUUUUAGCAACGGAUCUCUUGGCUCUC
rnacentral:misc_RNA from 1 species